rnacentral:rRNA from 1 species
AACGAACGCUGGCGGCAGGCCUAACACAUGCAAGUCGAACGCCCGUAGCAAUACGGGAGUGGCAGACGGGUGAGUAACGCGUGGGAACGUGCCCUUCGGUUCGGAAUAACUCAGGGAAACUUGAGCUAAUACCGGAUACGUCCGUAAGGAGAAAGAUUUAUCGCCGAAGGAUCGGCCCGCGUCGGAUUAGCUAGUUGGUGAGGUAACGGCCCACCAAGGCGACGAUCCGUAGCUGGUCUGAGAGGAUGAUCAGCCACACUGGGACUGAGACACGGCCCAGACUCCUACGGGAGGCAGCAGUGGGGAAUAUUGGACAAUGGGCGAAAGCCUGAUCCAGCCAUGCCGCGUGAGU